UUAUUCAGAUUUUUUAAUCUAGAAAGCUACUUUGCACAAACUAUAUUCCAAUGCUCUACCUCUACCCACCACAUUCUUUAGCCCAAUGUAAAAUAUAAUUGUAUUUUAUGCAGGAACAUCUUUUGUUGUGAGAGAAAAACUUGGUUUUGUAGUGGCCAAGAUCUGAGAAAAAACAACAAUAAUGGUUGAUCUUUCCCAAGACAUUUAAGGAUCAAUGCUUCAUGAUAUGCAGGGGGCACCAUAAUCUUCACCGCAGAAGCCUAGUGAAAACUGCUCCUAAGUAUUUUGAUCAUAUGAUCAAGAAAAAGCAUAAGAUCUUCUUAGGGCCGGUUAUUGGGGAGUGUAAAGUGGCCAAUAGCACAUUGUCUCAAAAUUUUGAUAGUCCUUUUUG
rnacentral:lncRNA from 1 species